rnacentral:rRNA from 1 species
GACGAACGCUGGCGGCGUGCUUAACACAUGCAAGUCGAACGGAAAGGCCUGCUUUCCCUUGUGGAUUGCGGGUACUCGAGUGGCGAACGGGUGAGUAACACGUGAGUGAUCUGCCCCCAACUUGGGUCUAAGCCUGGGGAACUGGGUCUAAUUCCCGAUAGGACUGCAGGGUGGUGCCUGUGGUGGAAAACGAUUUUCUAGUGGUUGGGGAUGAGCUCGCGGCCUAUCAGCUUGUUGGUGGGGUAAUGGCCUACCAAGGCGGGGACGGGUAGCCGGCCUGAGAGGCGGGACGGUCACAUUGGGACUGCGAUACGACCCAGACUCCUACGAGCAGCAGCAGUGGGGAAUAUGGCACAAUGAGCGGAAGCCUGAUGCAGCGACGCCGCGUGGGAGAUGACGGCCUUCGGGUUGUAAUCUCCUUGCGACCGCGAGGAAGCCACCUGGUUGGAAGGGUGGUGACGGUAGUGGUAGAAGAAGCACCGGCUAACUUCGUG